CAGUCGCCGCGGGAAUACGUAGGGUGCGAGCGUUAAUCGGAAUUACUGGGCGUAAAGCGUGCGCAGGCGGUUUUGCAAGACAGGCGCGAAAUCCCCGGGCUCAACCUGGGAAUGGCGCUUGUGACUGCAAAGCUAGAGUGCGGCAGAGGGGGAUGGAAUUCCGCGUGUAGCAGUGAAAUGCGUGGAUAUGCGGAGGAACACCGAUGGCGAAGGCAAUCCCCUGGGCCAGCACUGACGCUCAUGCACGAAAGCGUGGGGAGCAAACAGGAUUAGAUACCCCGGUAGUCCCUGUCUCUUAUAC
rnacentral:rRNA from 1 species